rnacentral:tRNA from 1 species
UAGAAAGUAGUGUAAUGGAGGCACAGAGAGUUUUGAUCUCUCUAGGUAGGGUUCGAACCCCUUCUUUCUAA